rnacentral:rRNA from 1 species
GAUGAACGCUAGCGGCAGGCUUAACACAUGCAAGUCGAGGGGUAUAGUUCUUCGGAGCUAGAGACCGGCGCACGGGUGCGUAACGCGUAUGCAAUCUACCUUUUGCAGAGGGAUAGCUCAGAGAAAUUUGGAUUAAUACCUCAUAGUAUGUGAGAAUGCCAUCAUUUUCACAUUAAAGUCACAACGGCAAAAGAUGAGCAUGCGUCCCAUUAGCUUGUUGGUAAGGUAAGGGCUUACCAAGGCAACGAUGGGUAGGGUGCCUGAGAGGGAGAUCCCCCAAACUGGUAGUAAGGCAAGGACCAGACUCCUACGGGAGGCAGCAGUGUGGAAUAUUGGACAAUGGGCGCGAGCCUGAUCCAGCCAUGCCGCGUGCAGGAUGACGGUCCUAUGGAUUGAAAACUGCUUUUGUACAGGAAGAAACACUGGUUCGUGAACCAGCUUGACGGUACUGUAAGAAUAAGGAUCGGCUAACUCCUUGCCAGCCGCCGCCGUAAGAC